UUCCAUUUCUCAAAAUGAAUUCCUUACUUAGUGUGAUGUUUGUGUUCCUAGGGAUUUGCACAAUAGAAAGCGAUGGCAUUGCCGUUUGCCCAAACGGGCAUGUGGCCUGUUUUAUCGAUCCAUGUAUGGGCUACUCAUGCUACGAUCCUCCAAAUCUUACUUGCAGGUCAAACGGCUGUGACGGUUGCAAAAGAGAUUGGUACGACGCCAGAAAUGUACAAAAACAAUGCCGCGUGGAAGGUCAAUAUGCUUGAAGAAAGAAACGAAGCUACAGAGAUGUUUAUUCACGAAAUGUGCGAAUAAACAUUAUGUUACAAAACUGAUAAAUUGGAAUUGAUAAAAACAACAUAAAUUAAGUUUCAAUGUUAUGCAGUUUAAGCAAAAAAUAAUAAUUCAAGAAACAAUUAAUAUGUUCUUUUUUAUUUUGAAAUUAAUUAUCAUUUGUUUUAAUACAUUUAUAAAGCUGUGUAAUAGAUGUUCCAAGUAACGAACGCAGGCAUAAUGGCAUGUUAUCGCUUAUAUGUCACGGAUGAUUCAUAAAUAUUUAUAAUAUGUAUUACUUUUCCCAUGUAACUAUAAACAAAGCUGAGAUUUUGUUAUUUUUAACUUAUUUUCAAAAGUGUCCAUCAUGCCAUUUGUUUGUAAGUUAUCCGUGGAUAUCUAAAAAUAAAUAAGCUUUUUAAAAGCAUGUCUUGAUGAAUCAUCAUUGAAACUGUUAACGCGUAUGGUAUUUUGUUAAUUUGUGUCAGAACAUGUAAACACUGUACGGUAAUGUGACAAUACACCAUUUAAGAUAUUUGCAUACACUAAAUGUUAUUGGCAACAUGUAUUUUGUCUGUACGCUUUGCCUUGAUAUCUCAUAAAUUUCCCCCAUUUUACCAUAUUUCCUUGAGUAAUGGUUUGUACAAUUAUAAAUCAUCUUUUAUUACAUCCGAUCUAUCGUUUUAAUUUAUAAAAGUUUGCAUACAUUUUGCUUAUGUAUAGCUAGCGUAAACAAUCUAACAGGUAAUUUAGCUAUUUACAACUUUGCAUCUGUCUAUAAAGAAAGCAAGUUGACAAGCAUGUUGAUUAAUUCAUAACAAUGAACACACCACUUACUGCGGCGUUUUUUCCCUGGGGCUUUCAUCACACGUUAUUGUACAUGUACUGGUUUAAAAUAAUUACAAUGUUUCUAACAAUUUUUAAUGUAUGUGCAGGCUACGUGUGUGUGUGUUCCCACCAAAUCUGACGUGCAGUUAAGUGUAUACAAUACAAAUAUUCAUAUUGCGUGAUUACUUUGCAUCGUUAUGUAAUACGUGUAGUGUAAAGUGAUCGAAAUCGUUGAGAUGUCUGAAAGCGCAGAAAUAGCUCUACUAUAUCCAUUUGUGGCAAGCCUGGAAUUUUUCCCUCUACCAUUCCAUUCGUAAUUAUGUGUUUAUGUUUUUCUCUGAUCACACGUAUUUCAUCAUGCGCUCUAGCCACCCGAUCCAUUCGUGACAUACAUUAACAGUGAAGCCUUAGAACAUUUUAAAUUAUAUGUUCUUUUCGUCUUACAUUGAAACCAACUGAGACAAAAAGCAAAUAAAUCAGCAUUAAUUGCAAAUUUGUUGUAGCUGUA